UACGUAGGGUGCGAGCGUUUGUCCGGAAUUACUGGGCGUAAAGCGCACGUAGGCGGCUUUGUAAGUAAGAGGUGAAAGCCCAGAGCUCAACUCUGGAAUUGCCUUUUAGACUGCAUCGCUUGAAUCAUGGAGAGGUCAGUGGAAUUCCGAGUGUAGAGGUGAAAUUCGUAGAUAUUCGGAAGAACACCAGUGGCGAAGGCGGCUGACUGGACAUGUAUUGACGCUGAGGUGCGAAAGCGUGGGAGCAAACAGG
rnacentral:rRNA from 1 species